rfam:Myotis brandtii contig210628, whole genome shotgun sequence.
AUUUUCGCUGCUGCACAGAGAGGACCCGUGUCCCGUGGACUGGGAGUUCCUGGAGAGCCGCCUCUGAACAGCUGGCAAUAAUUUCCUAAGUCCCGUCUCUUCAUUUUCCUUGUAAGUAUUCUUGGCUGCUGCACGUUAAUCU